UGGGGCGUCGCCAAGUGGUAAGGCAGGAGGUUUUGAUCCUCCCAUUCGGUGGUUCGAGUCCAUCCGCCCCAGCCA
rnacentral:tRNA from 1 species